GGAUGAAUACAAAGACUGGGUUACAUUAUAUAUUUAUCAGGUUUACUAUAAACAGUAAGACAAUAUGACUAUUUAUUCAAAAUAAGGCACGGAAACAGGUUUUAUCUUUUUCAGACAAUGAAAGCCAAGCUAACCAUAAAAAGUUCCCACCACAAUAAAAUCCCACAGUUUUCUCCAAACUCUGAGAUCAUGCUGUAAUCGCUCAAAAACAGAGAUUAUGAUAAGAGAAUCAACAGUUGAACACCAUGCACAGUUUAGUUUUGUUUUCUUGCUCUGAUGAUAAUGGCUUUGAUAUGUUUGAUGCAGAGUUUAUGCCUGAUGCUGCGCAGACUUGCUUGCAGUUUGACAAGUGGUGAUUAUUAUGGUAAGUGCGUCAUAUGUGGUCUGUGCUGCUGGGUUCUGCGCGUGUGCGUGUGCAUGUGCCCCCCACCCCCCCACCCCACCCCCCCAGUGUGUGGGGAAGGGGGGCAGGGCCUCGGUGUGCGUGCCUCCAGCCCUUCUUUUCUCUACGACUCUACAAACACGACUGAACCGACCACAAAUCAAAACACCAGCUCCAGCUUCCUGCUUCCUAAACAAACAUGUAGCAUCUACCAGGCAAUGGAAAUUACAGGCACUGGAUUCAUGGACGCGUUGAUUUGUUGGGAGUUGUCCUCACUAGUCGGAACUAAAAAGAGUUUAGUUUAGAUGCGAACAACAAAGUCAAACGGGGAUAAAUCCAUGUGACCAGGCAACCUGACUACUGUGUAAAGCAUCUGGAGUCGCAGCAACAACUCCUACAAAUAACGCAGGACACAGAAAGGCAAAGAGGAAGAGGAUGGGAGAGGGGAGCUGCAUGUAAAUGCUUUGGACCUUUAAUUCCUGAAAGAGUCAGUCACGAUCGACUGCAAACUUCCUGAGGGUUAACAGAGGGAGAGACUUGGCAGCCUUUGCAUGAGCCUUGGCCCACAGCUCUCCAAUAGGCUUUCAUGUUUUUAUUCCACCAACCAGCGGUCUCACUCAUCUACUCUGAAGAUGUCUUCAUCCUCCUAAAACCCACACCUUUCACAAUAAAAUCAAUGCCGAACUGUUGUGUGUGUGUUUUCUUUUUUGACAAGUGUUCAAUUAAAGUUAUUCCAGCUUCACUAUUUCCAAUUGCUGGUGAUUCCUAAGGGGGAGGGGGCAGGCAGAUAACAAAGAUCUCUCAUCUGCUUUGAGCAGCUGGGAUUUCCACUCAACUGUGGAGAAUCCAAACUGUCCUGGCUGCCAAGCAGAAGGCCUGCCUACACCCUCGCACAACACACAGCCUCCCAGGGGGCCGGACAACGCAGUCGACAACAUACGUACGUUGACACAUUUUAGUGUCCCAAUCAACCAUUACCUCUCUGCCUUGCUGACAUUUGACUGUCAGACAAACCACAUUUCACGUAAAGGACAGAGCUUCCAAAACUCUAAGAUAUUGCUUCAUGUAAACAGUCAGAAUACUCUGACCCGAUCGGACUCAUUCGGAUCAAAAGUGCCUUCCGAUCAAGACAGGUGGGUUAUCCAGACUGUUGAUCCGAUGAUGGUGCGUAUAAACAGUCAAUUCCGAUUGUGGGUCACUACUGCUCUGGCUUUUACGUCAUGCAUAGAUGGUGUGGCGCUCCAGAGAAGGCUUUGGAGGGCGAACCGGACUGGCCGGCUGCUCCACACGACCAAACCGUGUCUCUGAUCAGAACAGACGGACUUGUAGCUUCAUGGAGGGCGCUUUGUUACAGUGUGCGCUCCAGAGGAGGCCACGGUUUUUGGAGCAUCCAAGGCUAAAUGUUGCUGUUGGCACGUAUUAACCUAACCCUUCCUCUGGAUCCAUGCGGCUAAGAGUAAAGCACAAACAGGCACUUAAGAAUAAUAAAAACAAUAAAAGCUCGUAAAGAUCACCUGGCUCUAUGCCGCAGCUUUGUUUGUUUACAACAAAAUUGGCCAUUUCUUCUUCUACGGCCAUUUCUGGUAUUUUGGAUAGUUUUGCGCAUGUCAAAAGGAUUUAUUCCGAUGGAAAGUGUUUGUUAUAAUCAGAUAACGUUUUUCUGGGCCUCUGUUCCCAGUUCUAUUCCAACCCGAUCUGUGAUCCGAUCAAAGACAUGUUGUGCAUGUGAGUGCAGAUAAUAGACUGACUUGAUGAGAGGGACAGUAAUUCAGAAACUAAACCACACGGGUUAAGUUUAAAGUGGAUGAGAGGUAGAACAGAAUGUAAAAAAAGAACAUGACAAACAAAAGGGUUUUCACAUUUCAUCAUGACAAAGCCCAAGAUCCCAUAAUCCACUGUGGACAUAAACCAACCAUUUGUUAGAUCAGAUGACCUCCAUUACAAUCAUUUUGACAGCCUUCUUCUUUAUGGUGAGAAAAUCCUUCCAGAAGUGACUAUCCCACGAGUUUUUUUUGGGUCUGGGUGUCAAAAUGAAUUCCGUAGCACAAAGAAACAGACUAUAGAUAUCCGUUGGAGUCUGUUUCACAAGCGUCCGGGUUUUUGUGCACCCGAGAAUUAGUGGUAGUAACUGUGGCGGUGACUUACUGUAGGCCCCCUUCAUUGAGAAACCAAGCGAGUCAAAACACUCAAUAUAUAAAUGGAUAUUCUACAAUGUGAACCAUCUUAAACUUAGAUUAUUCAUUAAAUAUAGCCUUUUAGUAACUAUUUGAAUGACAUCCUGUCAUCAAGUUAACCUCAGGUUUAAGACAUGAUCAUAAGCCUGAAUGACUUAAGGGGGGAAUCUUUGUCAAGGGUCUAUGUUUAACAAUGUCAAAGUAAAUAUAGAAAACAUAAACAAGGAAAACAGUGUGUAGGUCUGCAUCAGCCAUGGGAGAAAGCGGAUAAACGCUAAACCUUUUUCCCACAGUUGCACAUUAAAAGUCUUCAGAGAUAUCCUCUCUGUAAAUCUUUGGUUGGGCACAGGUUCAUAUCCUGCUGCUUCCAGAAAUAAAAUGUCAAAAAGUGAAAGACGGGGGAAAAAAAAGCUCCACACAGGAAACAUCUGGAAAGAAUUAGGAUCUCAAAAGAAGAAGACCAAGACAGAAAAAAAAGGAUGAAGGCCCAACCACAGGUUACAACCAGACCCAGGUUCUGAAGAAAAUGCAGAAAACCACACAAUAUACAGCAUAAUGAAAACCCUACUUUUCUAUUACAUAUAAUUAUUCAGUUUGGUCUUUAGCAACUAACAAUAUCAUUCAAGGUAGUAAAGUAUUGAGUAGCCACAUCAAUAGAUGACCAUUGAUUUAUGUGUGUCUUUAGAAGGGAACCAGAAUUAAGUGAAAUACUUCAACCAUCAAUAAAAAAACUUUAUAAGGACCCCCAAGGCCCGAGCAAUCCCAGAAUUCCCUUUGGAAAAACUAAAAGAUGGUAAAACAUUAAAACCUUUAGUCUCCUGAGUUUUUUUUUUAAACCUAAAAGUUAGAAAUACUUUGCGUUUCAAUUUUCAUGGGCAACUUUUAUUAGGUCAUGAAAUGGAAACUGGAAAAUGGAUCAAUGACUGAUCAGAUGUGUCGAUUCAAAAAUCUGACCGAAAUCAUGCACUUCUGAAUAGAAAUCUUGAGUCAGUGAGAACCAGAUUUUUACUUCUACAGACAGUUUUACAUUACAUUAAACCUUUUACAAGAAAAGGGAGGGACGAUUGUAACACAUUAAAAUUACACAUAC